rnacentral:rRNA from 1 species
AACGAACGCUGGCGGCAUGCCUAACACAUGCAAGUCGAACGAGACCUUCGGGUCUAGUGGCGCACGGGUGCGUAACGCGUGGGAACCUGCCCUUAGGUUCGGAAUAACUCCCCGAAAGGGGUGCUAAUACCGGAUAAUGUCUUCGGACCAAAGAUUUAUCGCCUUUGGAUGGGCCCGCGUUGGAUUAGCUAGUUGGUAGGGUAAAAGCCUACCAAGGCGACGAUCCAUAGCUGGUUUGAGAGGAUGAUCAGCCACACUGGGACUGAGACACGGCCCAGACUCCUACGGGAGGCAGCAGUGGGGAAUAUUGGAAAAUGGGCGAAAGCCUGAUCCAGCAAUGCCGCGUGAGUGAUGAAGGCCUUAGGGUUGUAAAGCUCUUUUAACCGGGAUGAUAAUGACAGUACCGGGAGAAUAAGCUCCGGCUAACUCCGUG